AAGUCGUAACAAGGUUUCCGUAGGUGAACCUGCGGAAGGAUCAUCAACAAAUCUAAAAAAUGGUAGUGAUGUGUGUGUGUAAUAAUGGUGGUAGCUGUAAAAGGUUAUUAUUAUUAUUAUUGCCACUAACUACUAUUAUAAACCAAUGUGAAUAGCGAGGAAAAAUUCAUUUUUCUUCGUAUAAAAAAAAUAUAUAGAAUAUGCUGCUUAUUUGUGGCAUAUUUAUUAUUAUUAACGAGUUUUAAUAGAGUCUGUUUAUAAAAUAUGUAUAAUAAUUAUAUACAACUUUUAACAAUGGAUCUCUUGGCUCUU
rnacentral:misc_RNA from 1 species